UCAGGAUUGGAUUUUUUGGUUGACUUGAGAUCUGACAGGGGACGGAGGUAGUCAGAGACCAGGGCGUGGAUGCCGGGGGAAUCAGAAGACUGAAGCUUGGAGAUGAGGGAGGAUUCCGAGGGACUCGUGGUUGAGUGCAGCGGAAAACCCCUUCUUCCUCACGGGAAUGCAACAAACCCUUUCUUCCUCCAACCCUUUAAAUGCUGCUUAUCAUUACUUAAACCAUUCAAAUGCGUCCAACCCG
rnacentral:lncRNA from 1 species